UACGAAGGGGGCUAGCGUUGUUCGGAAUUACUGGGCGUAAAGCGCACGUAGGCGGAUAUUUAAGUCAGGGGUGAAAUCCCGGGGCUCAACCCCGGAACUGCCUUUGAUACUGGGUAUCUCGAGUCCGAGAGAGGUGAGUGGAAUUCCGAGUGUAGAGGUGAAAUUCGUAGAUAUUCGGAAGAACACCAGUGGCGAAGGCGACUCACUGGACAUGUAUUGACGCUGAGGUACGAAAGCGUGGGGAGCAAACAGG
rnacentral:rRNA from 1 species